rnacentral:rRNA from 1 species
UACGUAGGGCGCAAGCGUUGUCCGGAAUUAUUGGGCGUAAAGAGCUCGUAGGUGGCGUGUCGCGUCUGCCGUGAAAGCCCAUGGCUUAACUGUGGGUCUGCGGUGGAUACGGGCAGGCUGGAGGCUGGUAGGGGCAAGCGGAAUUCCUGGUGUAGCGGUGAAAUGCGCAGAUAUCAGGAGGAACACCGGUGGCGAAGGCGGCUUGCUGGGCCAGUUCUGACGCUGAGGAGCGAAAGCGUGGGGGAGCGAACAGG